ACAACUGCUAGGGUAAGAGUAAAGUAAAGCCGUCAUACACAGCAUGUAAGACUUGAAAAUGAUAAUCAGCAAGUAUGUUACUAGUUUAUGAAGUGACUUGACUACACCUUUAACCAUACAAGUCAGCAUGUAAGCUUCUCUCUGGAAUUAUGCCGUGGACUUCAUCACCAUAGAGAUGAUCCUCCUUAUGUGGCAGACAAGGAACAGUGGGUUCAAGAUUUCCACACGUGCACACGCUGUCAUAUGCCUUCCGGAUUACAGAUGGACGUCUGAGGACAACCUUGAGAACUGUUCUCCCCUUCCGCUGCAGGUUCCUGUCAUCAAACUCAGCUCACUGGGCUUUCUCAACAAAAGCUCUGAGCCAUCUUGCUGGCCCUCUCUUGUCAUUCCUAUGAAAUUCAAUUCAUAAACCAAAGAGCAGUAAAGAGUGCAAAGAAGUAUCC